GAUCUGUGACAGGAGGGAUCUAGGACGUGGUAGGGGAGGCAUCUCUGUGAGAGGAUUUCCCAGAUUAUGGUGAGAGACUGAGGCAUGGAGAGAGGAAAUAAGUUGCUCCAGGUCACAUGGCUGGGAAAUGUUGGAGACAGGAUUUGAACCCACAAGUGACUCCCAGAUAAGUGUUUUCACCACUCGGUGAUGUGACAUCCCAUAACAUAACAAGAUUUUAAAACAAAUGUGCCAGAGUGUAUACCUCCAAAUAAGAGUUGUGUCCUUCUCAAUCAUCAUCUCGGAAAGUCACACCAUUAUUUCAGUGAAGCAGCUACUGCUCAAAACAUUUUUGAAACUUCUUUUAGGGAGUCCUUUUGAAUGUUGACAAAUCUUGAUCCUUCAAAGGUGGAUUUGAUCUUGGGAAAUGUCUACAAGUCACUUGGAGUUGAGUCUGAUGAAUAAGAGAGAUUGAUUCCACAUUGGGAGGAAGGUGCUGAGGAAAAUCCCGGUGAUCUCGACCCAGAGACUCCCCAAGGGCUGGAACCACGCAUGUUUAGUCACACGAAAUCCUUGACGGGUGUCUGAGCCUCAGUCAGAGUUCUCAGUCGCAAGCAGUGUAAACCAACUCUAGCUAAUUUAAGCAGAAAAGAGCUUAUAAGAAGGAUGUCAGAGAGCUCACAGAAUUCUGGGAGGGAUAGAGAACCAGGCUCAGCCCUGUGUAUUCAGGACAACGCCCCAAUCACUGUAGGGUGAAAACAACACUACGGAUGUUACCGAAUUCAAGAUGCCCGAGUUGGGACCACUGACAGACUCACACUGGACCCUGGAUGAGGCUGUAGGCACACAUCACUUUGCCUCCAUCCUACUGAUCAGAAGUUAGUGACAUGACCAACAGGGAAAUUAAUUACUUAUGCUGGAUGGCCAGGUCCCCAGCUGAAACUUUGGUGCUCUAUUACAAGAAGAAUGGAGGGGAGGAUGGAGACUGUGGGACAACUAGCAGUCUGUCCCACAGACAAUGACUCCAUGCUGACCUCAAAUAUGAGUUGGAAAAAGGUAUCUGGGGGCUUAAGUUGGAAUGGCUCAUCUCUGCUGCACGUGGACCUCUCUCCCCGAGGGCUAGCCUGAGCUUCCUCGCGUGGCAGCACUGCCUUCGAAGAGCGAGAGCGGAAUCUGCAGGGCCUCCUGACGCUGUGGCUCAGACAUCACACAGUGCCAUUUCUGCUGCAUUCUACUGGUCAGCGUAAGUCACAGGAUAAAAUGGAUGAAAGAAUUUGGAAAUAAUGAAGGUAAAUUCAUACGUCUUGGAAGUGUAGUCUACAAGCAACCUCCACGUCCUCACUGCCCUGGUGUUUCAAUCUGGUUUCUGCUAGGAUUGCUGUCCAAGUCAAUAAUAACCGUUGGCAAAGCCAAUGAAGAUUUUCUAUCUUCUUCUCACUUUCCCUCCAUCUGGUUGUUUGCUCCUUCCUUCUUAUAACAUUGUCCUCCUUGGCUUCUGUGACACCACUAUCCUCUUCUGAUUUUCCUCCUUCCUGACUGGCCUCUCUGCUCCAGCUAGCGCCUACUGGACUUCCUCAGGGCUGGAUCCUGGACCCUCUUCAUGUCUAUACUCUCUCCCUCGAUGAUCCGAUCCUUUCCAUGACUUUACGUACCAUUUCUGUGCUUUUUAUCUUUAGUUGGACAUUUCUUCUGGGCUCAGGACUCAUAUGUAGCUCCCUUCUUGAUAUCUUUCUUCAGAUGUCUCACAUGCAUCUUAAACUUAGCAUCAGAACUGAGCUCCACACCUGGCCCUAUUCACUCCUCUCCAUCCUGGCAAAUGGUUCCCCUAUCCACCUGGAUCACUAGACCAGAAACCUGGUGGUCAUCCUUGACUCUGCCCUCUAAAAUGUCUUGGAUCCAUUUACUUUGUCCUUUGCCAACCCCACCCUGGUCCGAGCCUCCACCACCUCUCUCCUGGACUAUUGUUAUUGCACUAACUCAUCCUUAUAGUCCGUUCUAGCUAUAGUAGUCAGAGUUAAAGCACAAAUCAAGUCACUGUGCUGCUAAAAAUCCAUCAGAAGCUUCUCAGUGUUAACCCAGAAUGCAGCCUAACUCCUUAUCACAGCACACAGGAUGCUGGGCUACCUGGUGCUUGUUUUCAUCUUCAUCCCGACUCACGGUAUCUCUCCCUGCUCGCUCUACUUGGUGGAAAGGAGCCUCGAAUGCUCCUUCCAUUCAGGGGGGCCUUGCGACCAUUCAUUUACUUAUUCACUCAAGUCAUCGAUUCACUCAACAAAUAUUUACUAAGUCUCUCUGAAGAGUGCCAACCACUGUGUUAGGUGUGGUCACACAGGUUAUUACGUGUGUGAGCUGGCAUUUGUGUCCGCUGAGAUGAGUUUGCCUAUGAAGAUUGUACAGAGGUCUUGUAGCACUCCAAGUUUAAAUUCAUUUUAAGACAAGAAAGAAUUAGUAUAUUCUCUCAUACUUGAAUUGCGGUGUUAGAGUCAUAACUUUACAUUGUGUAAAACACUGCUUUAGCCCAAACUGCAAUGUCGGGAGGUAACCUGUUUCCAUGCCAGUUUUCUGUGCUUCACAUGUCAUAUAUAUGUCAUGACAG